UAUGAAGUAUUUGAGAAAUUUCAGAAAGAGAUUAUUGCAGCAAGAGACCAUUGUUGUAUCCAAGGCAUUGCACAAGAUGAAGCAGUAAAAAUAGUGACUUUGAGAGGUCGAUCCCACAAGAUUAGGGAAGUUCGGUGCGACACCACAACCAUGAUAGCUAAUUGUUCAUGCAAGUUAUUUGAAACAAUUGGAAUCCCAUGUCGUCAUAUCAUCCAGGUGUUGAGGGCCGAAAAUCAAAAUGAACUUCCGUCCUACUACCUUAUGAAAAGAUGGGACAAACGGUGCAAAAGGGAGAAUGUGUAUGACGAGCAUGGGAAUUUACUAGAAGAGAAGGCAACCGACUCCUUGAAUGAGGCUACGAGGAAGAAGAUUUCGGUUGUACGCAACAAGUUGGAAGAUCUAAUUCAGAAGGCCAAGCACUCAGAUGAAGGAAUGGAUUUUCUAACAUCAAGUGUGCUGAAUAUUGAAGCACCUUUGGAUGAAAUGGUUCCUACAUCAGGUGUGAAGCAGACUAGACAAGCUGAGUAUGAGGCUUUUAUUGGUUGCAAUAUUCCUACUGAAAUUGAUAUACACCCACCAACUGAUGUUCGUACGGUUGGAAGAUGCAAAAGAAUAAAGGGAGGAAAGGAAACA
rnacentral:rRNA from 1 species